rnacentral:rRNA from 1 species
UACCCCUAGCAAAUCUCAAAAAACCGUCCCAGUUCAGAUUGUACUCUGCAACUCGAGUACAUGAAGGUGGAAUCGCUAGUAAUCGCAGAACAGCAGGCUGCGGUGAAUACGUUCCCGGGCCUUGUACACACCGCCCGUCACGGCAUGGGAGUUGGUUCUACCUUAAGACGGUGCGCUAACCCGCAAGGGAGGCAGCCGACCACGGUAGGGUCAGCGACUGGGGUGAAG